rnacentral:rRNA from 1 species
GACGAACGCUGGCGGCGUGCUUAACACAUGCAAGUCGAACGGAAAGGCCCUGCUUUUGUGGGGUGCUCGAGUGGCGAACGGGUGAGUAACACGUGAGUAACCUGCCCUUGACUUUGGGAUAACUUCAGGAAACUGGGGCUAAUACCGGGUAGGAGCUCCUGCUGCAUGGUGGGGGUUGGAAAGUUUCGGCGGGUGGGGAUGGACUCGCGGCUUAUCAGCUUGUUGGUGGGGGAGUGGCUUACCAAGGCUUUGACGGGUAGCCGGCCUGAGUGGGUGACCGGCCACACUGGGACUGAGAUACGGCCGAGGCUGCUAAGGGAGGCAGCAGUGGGGAAUAUUGCACAAUGGGCGGAAGCCUGGUGCAGCAACGCCGCGUGCGGGAUAACGGCCUUCGGGUUGUAAACCGGUUGCGCCUGUGACGAAGGGUGAGCUAAGGUAAUGGGUAGAGUAGGACCGGCUAACUACGUU